UGUCAUCUUGUUAGAACGUCUUCCCAAAUGUACACAAUCUAAAAUAACCAGCUAGGCGCUUGGACUCACAUGAUUCUCCAUUCUCUGCAUAGUAUUUCUGCCAUGAUUAUUUUGAUUGACUUACUGUUUAUUUCCUUUCCAAACUCCAGUCUGCUGAAAUAGGUUGUGAGUUCUACAAGAGUAGAAAUUGCUUCUGUCUUUACCCUGGAAUUGUUGCACCUGGAACAGUGCUUGGAACAUGAAAUUUAAAAGGCUG